GUCGAACGGAGUACCCCUGAAGGAGUUUUCGGACAACUGAUGGGACUACUUAGUGGCGGACGGGUGAGUAACGCGUGAGUAACCUGCCUUGGAGUGGGGAAUAACAGCUGGAAACAGCUGCUAAUACCGCAUAAUAUGUCUGUGUCGCAUGGCACUGGACAUCAAAGAUUUAUCGCUCUGAGAUGGACUCGCGUCUGAUUAGCUAGUUGGCGGGGUAACGGCCCACCAAGGCGACGAUCAGUAGCCGGACUGAGAGGUUGGCCGGCCACAUUGGGACUGAGACACGGCCCAGACUCCUACGGGAGGCAGCAGUGGGGAAUAUUGGGCAAUGGGCGCAAGCCUGACCCAGCAACGCCGCGUGAAGGAAGAAGGCUUUCGGGUUGUAAACUUCUUUUCUCGGGGACGAAGCAAGUGACGGUACCUGAGGAAUAAGCCACGGCUAACUACGUGCCAGCAGCCGCGGUAAUACGUAGGUGGCAAGCGUUAUCCGGAUUUACUGGGUGUAAAGGGCGUGUAGGCGGGACUGCAAGUCAGAUGUGAAAACCACGGGCUCAACCUGUGGCCUGCAUUUGAAACUGUAGUUCUUGAGUACUGGAGAGGCAGACGGAAUUCCUAGUGUAGCGGUGAAAUGCGUAGAUAUUAGGAGGAACACCGGCGGCGAAGGCGGCCUGCUGGACCGCGACUGACGUUGAGGCUCGAAAGCGUGNGGAGCAAACAGGAUUAGAUACCCUGGUNGUCCACGCCGUAAACGAUGACUACUAGGUGUCGGGGGACGACAGUGCCCCGGUGCCGGCGCAAACG
rnacentral:rRNA from 1 species